rnacentral:ncRNA from 1 species
AAGUGCGGGCCCUUGCCCGCACCGAGGUGCAACUUGAGCAAAGGCCAAAAGCCCGAGCUUUUACCUAUGAAGAUAUGAGACCAGCAGGGGCGUCCGGGCUGGUACCCGGUAAAUCUGCGGAACUCUCGGUGGCUUGGUUCAGUCGCUGCAUACGGACUCAACUCAGCUUGCUGUGGUUCUUGCCGAUCGAGGCCCCUAACCGAGGGUGACCA